rnacentral:rRNA from 1 species
UGCCUCAGUAACGGCGAGUGAAGCGGCAACAGCUCAAAUUUGAAAGCUGGCCCCCCCGGGGGUCCGCGUUGUAAUUUGUAGAGGAUGAUUCGGCGAGGGCUCCCGCCUAAGUCCCCUGGAACGGGGCGUCAUAGAGGGUGAGAAUCCCGUAUGCGGUGGGCUGCCUUAGCCAUGUGAAUCUCCUUCGACGAGUCGAGUUGUUUGGGAAUGCAGCUCUAAAUGGGAGGUAAAUUUCUUCUAAAGCUAAAUACCGGCCAGAGACCGAUAGCGCACAAGUAGAGUGAUCGAAAGAUGAAAAGCACUUUGGAAAGAGAGUUAAAAAGUACGUGAAAUUGUUGAAAGGGAAGCGCUUGCAGCCAGACUUGUCCGCAGUUGCUCAGCCGGUCUCCUGACCGGCGCACUCUUCUGCGGCCAGGCCAGCAUCAGUUCGGGCGGUCGGAUAAAGGCCCCGGGAACGUAGCUCCUCUCGGGGAGUGUUAUAGCCCGGGGUGGAAUGCGGCCAGCCUGGACUGAGGAUCUCGCUUCGGCUAGGAUGCUGGCGUAAUGGCUGUAAGCGGCCCGUCUUGAAACACGGACCAAGGAGUCUAACAUCUAUGCGAGUGUUUGGGUGUCAAACCCAUGCGCGUAAUGAAAGUGAACGGAGGUGGGAACCCUCGCGGGUGCACCAUCGACCGAUCCUGAUGUCUUCGGAUGGAUUUGAGUAAGAGCAUAGCUGUUGGGACCCGAAAGAUGGUGAACUAUGCCUGAAUAGGGUGAAGCCAGAGGAAACUCUGGUGGAGGCUCGCAGCGGUUCUGACGUGCAAAUCGAUCGUCAAAUUUGGGUAUAGGGGCGAAAGACUAAUCGAACCAUCGAC